rnacentral:lncRNA from 1 species
AUAAAAGAUAUUUUGAAAAUUUUUUUGAAAUAACUGAGAUUUGUUAAAAUAAACUAUAUAAAAUUCUGAAAAUAAAAAAAUAUAUAUAAUAAGAAAAUAAUGGUUAAAUCUGUAAAAAUAAACUAAAAUGUAUGUCAAUCAUUCAUUUUUUGUUUUAAUUUCAUCAAAAUUUAGGAGAAAAUCACAAAAAAGAAUUGUAAACAUCCCAGACCAUUUAAAGGGGCAUAGCACUUCAUUGUUUUACAGCAGCCACUUGCUUCCCAGGAAAUUGCAGCCAAACCUACUUUACAUGUGGGUAAGUGGCAUUGAGUCCAGAGUUUAUAAUAAAUCUACUGUGGUCCAGUUAGAGGA